UAUAUACAGAGUUAUUGCCCAGAACCAAUACAAUUGCUCUCUAUCCUUGUGCGAUUCGCUUGCUUCGCCGGAGAAUUACGUCACUGAUCGGAUCAACAAGGUAAUUCUGCCGUCGAUUCAGUUCCCAAACUUUCCGGUUAGAUCUGUAAAUGUUAGAUAACUGACCGAAGAAUUUGGAUUUCUGUAAGUUUGUUUGAGAACUUUUGGGGUGAAUUUGCAAUAUUUUUUCUUUAUGAAUUAAGGUUUGAGUAUGGAGGGUAGUGUGAGAUCAGGGGGUGUAGUGAAAAAGAAAAGUUCAUCUGGGUGUUUGAUAAUUAAGAAGAAAGAUGAUAGAAUAGGUAUGGGUGGAGGAGGGGGUGUGGGUACUUCAAGGGGUUCACAGAAGGUGAAAAAGAGGCCUAGAAUGGUUGAGAGUGCUUCGGAGUCGAGUGAAGAGUCAUUGGAGCCAAUUAGGAGAAAGGGUGGAGAGAAAUUUCACAAUGGGUCAGUUGGCAGUGCAAAAAGUGGUGUGGAAAGUAGAGAUUUUGGUAGGAAUGAGAAUAUUGAAAGUGAGAGUAAGAGAAGUAAGUUAGAUUUGUUUGAUUUCGACGAAUACGAUGAAUUCAAUGAGGAGAUGAAGUGGAAUGCUGCAAGAACUGGGAGUUCUAGUAGGAAUAUGAUCAUUGAGAAGAGUAAGCACUCUAAUAUUGAUAGUUCUAAGGAAAGGAGUGAUUCUGAUGAUGACGAUGAAGCACAUAUGCCAAUUUCAUUGCUUAGGUUGAAGAGUAGGGAAUUGUCUCAAGAACCUAUCAGAUUUCAAGGGAAAAAUGGAGUCUUGAAGGUAAUGGUGAAUAAGAAGAAGAAGAUAGACUUAUCAUCACACAAGGAUUAUGAUGUCGAAAGUAGGAAAGGUUCCAGUUCUGACGAUGUUGUCAAGAAGGAUUUGCUACGUCGAGCUUCUUUGCACUCGGAUUCUAAACGCCCUGAAAAACGACCAUUGUCCAUUAAAACAGAGCAGGCUGAGUUGAAAUCACAAAAAGCUUUCUUGGCAAAAGGCAUUAAGUCUAUAGACUCUGAAAACGAUGGAACUGAUACAUCACUUAAGUUGGCACCACCUAGUUCAAAGACGAGGAGGAUUAAGGAAGAAAGCAGGUCUGUAGCAGUUGAAGAUGUUACCCCUGCUAAGAACAAAGAAGGAAAAUUGAAACGUCGUGGGAGUAUGGAGAAGCAGCAGCUUCAGCCUGCUAGCUCAAAGGCUAGGGUGAUUAAGGAAGAAAACAGGUCCACAGCAGCUGAAAAUAUUACCCCUGCCAAAAGCAAAGAAGGAAAAUUGAAACGAGGUGCGAGUACUGAGAAGCAGCAACUGCGUGAGAGGAUCAGAGGAAUGCUUAUUGAAGCUGGAUGGACCAUUGACUAUAGACCAAGAAGGAACAGAGAUUACUUGGAUGCAGUGUAUAUUAAUCCUAGUGGAACAGCAUACUGGUCAAUAAUUAAGGCUUAUGAUGCACUGCAAAAACAGUCAGAGGAAGAUCCAGGAAAAAGAAAAGUUGAUGGUGGCUCAACUUCGUUUGCUCCAUUAGCUGAUGAUUUAAUCAAUAAGCUAACCAGGCAAACACGGAAGAAGAUCGAGAAAGAAAUGAAAAAGAAAAGAAAAGAUGAUGCCAAGAACAGAGAUUACAUGAAGUCUACUAUGCAAGAGUCUUCCGAGGACACAGAUGAUGAUCAGCAUGAGGAAAGGCUAAGUAGCUAUGCCAAGAAGAAAGGUAAGUUUCUGAAAUGCAAGUCGCAUGCAACAGAUCAGGAGACUGAUGGUGAUACAAGUGACGAUUCUUCAAAGGGAGGAAGAUCUAGGCAAGAGAUGUCCGGAAAAUCAUCUAUUGGAGCUGCUUCCAGUGAAAUACAGGGAAGAAAAAGUAGGAUAAUUGGGAGAUGUACAUUGUUGGUUCGCAGGUCUGAUAAGGAGCAAGAUUCUGAAAGCGAUGGCUAUGUUCCUUAUACUGGAAAGAGAACCUUAUUGGCCUGGAUGAUCGACUCUGGGACAGCGAAGUUAAGUCAGAAGGUUCAAUAUAUGAAUCGUAGGAGGACCAGAGUAAAGCUAGAAGGUUGGAUAACACGAGAUGGCAUCCAUUGUGGGUGCUGUAGUAAAAUUCUUCCAGUUUCAAAAUUUGAGCUGCAUGCAGGAAGUACAUUGCGUCAACCGUAUCAAAACAUAAUCUUGGAGUCUGGUGUUUCUUUGCUGGAGUGCCUGGUUGAUGCAUGGAAUCGGCAAGGAGAAUCUGAUCGCGAAGAUUUCCACACUGUAAAUGCAGACAGUGAUGACCCUGAUGAUGAUACUUGUGGUAGAUGUGGUGAUGGUGGGGACCUUAUCUGUUGUGAUGGUUGCCCUUCGACUUUUCAUCAAAGCUGUCUGGGUGUACAAAUGCUUCCUCCAGGUGAUUGGCUCUGUCCAAAUUGCACAUGCAAAUUUUGUAACACCGGCAGUACUAUCACAGAGGAAGGUGGGGGAGCUGUAGAUGAGCUUCUCUGGUGCAGCCUCUGUGAGAAAAAAUAUCAUAAAUCAUGCAGUCUUGAUAUGAAUGCUAUAUCCUCUAGUUCUAAUAAUCCAUCUGUAUCGUUUUGCGGGCAGAAAUGCCAAGAGCUGUAUGAUCAUCUGCAGAAGAUUCUUGGUGUCAAACAUGAGAUUGAAGCUGGAUUCUCAUGGUCCCUAAUUCAACGAACGGAUUUGGACUCUGAUCAUUCUCAUCAUGCCUUUUCUCAACGGGUGGAGUGCAAUUCUAAACUAGCUGUUGCACUGACUGUUAUGGAUGAAUGUUUUUUGCCAAUUGUGGAUAGGAAAAGUGGCAUCAAUAUUAUUCAUAAUGUUCUUUAUAACUGCGGCUCAAACUUUACUCGGUUGAAUUUUCAUGGCUUCUAUACGGCAAUCUUGGAAAGGGGCGAUGAAAUAAUAUCUGCUGCAUCCAUAAGGAUCCAUGGAACUCAACUAGCGGAAAUGCCAUACAUUGGGACCAGGAAUAUAUAUAGGCGCCAAGGGAUGUGCCGCCGGUUGCUGUCUGCUAUUGAGACGGUCCUCUCCACACUAAAAGUUCAGAAGUUGAUUAUUCCUGCUAUAUCUGAGCAUAUGCAUACUUGGACCGUAGUUUUUGGAUUUAAUUCACUUGAGGAUUCAUCAAGGCUAGAGAUGAAGUCCAUCAAUAUGUUGGUGUUUCCUGGGACAGAUAUGCUACAAAAGAGGUUACAAAAUGGAGAGACCCUAGAGGCUGGUACAAAUGCUGGUGAUUCGAAACAUAGUGUUCCUUGGUUGCCUGCUUUGAUUGAAAAAGCUGAUAAGGACUCCGACUCCCCUACUAAGUGCGACGGGAACUUGCAUGAUCAAGCCUGCAUAGAAAAAGUUGAUGACGGUGUUGGUGCUUCUGAUUCUCCAUCUACACCUGUCGAUUUAAGUGAUAGUGCUUUGGUUAGAACAGAAAGUGCUGAUUGUGGAUCAGAUAUUCAUAUCUCCACUAAGGAGGCUACAUCUGUCCAAUGCAAUGUGGAGAAGAAGCUGCCUGAAUCGAGCACAAUAUCAAUGCCCUCCUCUCCUUCCGGUGCAAGUAUAGGAAACGCUGAUUCAGGAGAUGUUUCAUCGGGUCCUUCCACAGAAGUUGAUGACCAAUCAUCUGAGCCAGUCCAUCAAAAAUUGUGCAUUUCAUUGGAUGAAGCUUCUGCCAGAAACAUUGAGGUUGAGAAACAGAAUGAGGAGCUUUCAGAUAAUAUCUCCAUUGAUGCCAAUGGGAAAGGUUUAUCGGCAGAUACCAAAGCUAGUUGUUUUAAAGAACCUGCUGCACCAAGUGCAGAAGAAGAAACUGACGAGACAAAAGUUUCAGUAUGUGUCUCUGCAACUUGUGAGAGUACAAAGCCUUCCAUAGAUGUCCUCUCAGACUCUACUCAACCAAGUACACUUGGCAUGCAGAAUGGGCGAAAUGUGGCUUUAAAGCAAACUUCUGAUAUUAAACGUCUUGAUGAUGGAGAUGUUUCCUUGGAGGAUGGUAAUUUGGAUGCCUCUUCAAUUGGUGAUGGAGUUAAUGACAAUAAUGGUGCUGAAGUUUCUUCUUCUAAACCUGCAAUUGAUUCCUCGGUUGAAACUUCUUUGAAUGCUGCCCCAGAAAAUAACAGUGACUGUCAACUUUCUCUCUGUCCUGGAUCUCAAGCAUGUGGCUUGAACCCUUCUGAUGGCUGUUCUGAAGCAAACGUUUCUGUUGACGAGAGGAUAGUUCACUAUGAUCCUGGUCAGGCAGAAACUCAUGAAGUAACUGUAGCGGGCAGUUGCAGUGGAACUGUUGAUUUUUCUGCUGAUGCUUCUGCAGAACUUGCCGAUGAAGAAAAGAGUUAGACUCUGGUCUAGGCCUAUUGAUGCUAAUCACACUGACUAUGCUACUUAAACAUCACGGUAAUUAACGUAAACUUGAUGUAGAAUUUUAUACCAGGUCCUCUAUGAAGUUGUUUCUUCACUGGAUCUACUUUUGGGUAAUCAAGGUCAUCUGACGUUCCUGAAGCUGUUUGUGUUUUGUCAAUCAAACCAAUUUUGAUUCUUCAGUGGGUUAUGUUGUGAAGGGAAAGAAGGAAACAGUUAUUCAGGAAGGCAAUUAUAAAAGAAUUGGUCUAGAAGUUGUGCAAUUUCUCUGCUGUCAUCUAGGUGGCGGGUUUCAGAAAUAUAUAGCAGCUAUUGAUUGGAUGCUCUGAAACCAAUGUCCUAAACCAUCUGUGGAAAUUGAGACACUCGGAGCCCUUCAGGAGCUGAUGUUUCCAUUGUCUUUAUCGACCUAUCAGCAUAGUGGAGUGUCUGUCUUAUAGUAGUUUGGUGGUACAAUCACUAGACUAUUAGAGGUAUCAUUAUCAAAAGGGUAUGUGAAUUGUACCUCAUGGAUAAGACAGCAAAUUUUGUGAACCUAAUGGACUCCAUUGGUGAGAGACACCCACGAAGAUUUUGAAUGUACAUAUGUAGUUUUGUGUAGAUCUAAUAUUCUAUUACCAAGGUCCUCAGGGAUCCUUGUAAUUCAUCAAUUGAAAUGAUAAUAUCACCAAAUAUCCAAAUUUCUGGUUAAACUUCUUCAUGAUGAGAUUGAGAUCCCUCGUAGUUGCUUCUUAUUAGGACUCUGCCUGAUCUUGCUAGCAACACAGAUUCUUGUAAGGAUUAAAACUGCAAAUUGAUCAUAUCAUGGCAUACAAGAGAUGUGGGAUGGAUUCAUACACAGGUUUAAUACCUUAUAUCCAUGGUGUAGUUAAGAGAAGGAAGUAUCUCCAAGGAUUUCAAAAGCUCAAGACAGGGAAAAUCCUCUCUACUUCUGACGAAGAACGGAGACAUAAUAAGUUGAUUCUUUCGAAGAACAGGAAAAAACCAAGUGUUAUGCCAGGUUGUGGAUUGUGGAAAUGGUAGUAGUUCUUGAAAACAAGAAGUACAACCAGUGAUGUGUGUUUUUAGUCAGAAUUUGUAUAGUAUUUCUUUUUCUGAAUCUACUUUGGAUCUCUAAAAUGUGUCUACACAACUUGUCAACUUAGUAACAAAAGUUGUUUGUUGCUAGUUUCAUUAUAAUUCAAGGAAAUCUCUCUUGUAUAUUCUUCGUGGCUCAUAUAAACAACACCUGAAUAAUUGAAAUUUAACUUUUCAA